GGUGGCACUGAUGGCUGUGGGGUGGCAUUGGGUGACACUGAUGGCAAUGGGGAGGCCAUGGGUGGCCAUGGAGUGGCAAUAGGGUGGCACUGGUGGCCAUGGGGUGGCAAUGGUGGCCAUGGGGUGGCUAUAGGGUGACACUGGUGGCUAUGGGGUGGCCAUGGGGUGGCAGUGGGUGACACUGGUGGCCAUGGGGUGGCAUUGGUGACCAUGGGGUGACCCUGGUGGCCAUGGGGUGGCAAUGGGGUGGCACUGGUGGCCAUGGGGUGGCAAUAGGGUGGCACUGGGGGCUGUGGGGUGACACUGGGAUGGCAGUGGUGGCCAUGGGGUGGCCAUGGGGUGGCAUUGGUGGCCAUGGGGUGGCAAUAGGGUGUCACCGAUGGCCAUGGGGUGGCAAUAGGGUGACACUGAUGGCCAUGGGGUGGCAAUAGAGUGACUCCGGUGGCCAUGGGGUGGCAUUGGUGGCCAUGGGGUGGCAAUAGGGUGACACUGAUGGCCAUGGGGUGGCACUG
rnacentral:lncRNA from 1 species